CACACAAGUUAAAUAUUUCCCAGCAUCCCUUGGGAAUGCCUUGUCUGUGUUGCCGCUAGAUGGUUUGGGACAUUUAGUGAGAAAAACAAGUUGAAUUCAAGCAAGCUGAAACCACAGCCACCCUUGUGAUAAUCAAGAUGGAUGCUAACUAAUGGAUCAGGAAACCCAUGGUCUUUGUCAACUCCAUGGCCUUAAGAAUAAACCUUGUUUGUGGCUGGGGAAAUGGCUCAGUGGGCCCUUGCUGUCCAGAAGGUGUGAAGGAGGAGACUGCUGACCACUGGAAGACAGCAAGCAGGAAACGAGGGUAGGGCUGCAGACCACCUUCUGCAACCAGCCAGGGAAAGACAUAUGCACCAGAUAAA